CCGAGCUCCGGCUCCGGACCGCGCGGACCAUACCUAAAACCUCUUGAUGCCUCGGCGGGGGGCCCCCACGGGGGGGGCCGCGGGGGACCCGCCGGCGGCCAACUCUUUACAUCUCUCUCUACCCGUAACCGUGUACUUCAGUUUUUCUUACCUUCCAAACA
rnacentral:misc_RNA from 1 species